rnacentral:lncRNA from 1 species
GACCACAAAGAAAAGAGGAACUAAAGGACAACACAAGAUGCCUCUACAGAGCAAAGAAGCCUGGCAUACUCCUCACCGCAUGACAAAAGUCGUCACUGAUGGGACAAGUCAAUCUCAGGCGUCUCCUCAUAGAAAGCACUAAGAGGCUGAACCAUUUAACAUUCCCACCAGCAACAUACGAGGGUUCCAGUUUCUCCACAUCGUCCUCAAAACCAGUUACUGCCCGUCUUUUGAUUCUGGCCAUCCUAGUAGGCUAUAUUCUAUGGCUACAAGAGACAUGAGCAGAUUACAGAGCUCCACACCCAGUCUUGGAAAGAAAAGUAACUACUACUAAGUAGCAGCAACUUUUAAGAGAAAAGAAUAGAGUUCCUGGUGCUUGUGGCAAGAAGCAGGAGGACCUUGAAGCCAAUCUGGGCUUGAGAAAGUGGUUCAUUCCCCCAAAUACUUCACUCAAUGAUCUACCUAAAUGUCUGCCGUCUGCCCUCCUUUCCCACCAAUUUCCAGUCAGGCAGCAAUAGCCAACAGCAAUAUUAAUAGUAAAAUUAAUAGCAGUAGUACCAGCA